rnacentral:piRNA from 1 species
UAAAGAAGAUGUUCCAGAAUCAAAAUUUCAGG